rnacentral:rRNA from 1 species
GAUGAACGCUGGCGGCGUGCCUAAUACAUGCAAGUCGAGCGAACGGACGAGAAGCUUGCUUUUCUGAUGUUAGCGGCGGACGGGUGAGUAACACGUGGAUAACCUACCUAUAAGACUGGGAUAACUUCGGGAAACCGGAGCUAAUACCGGAUAAUAUUUUGAACCGCAUGGUUCAAAAGUGAAAGACGGUCUUGCUGUCUCUUAUAGAUGGAUCCGCGCUGCAUUAGCUAGUUGGUAAGGUAAAGGCUUACCAAGGCAACGAUGCAUAGCCGACCUGUGAGGGUGAUCGGCCACACUGGAAGUGGGACGCGGUCCAGACUCCUACGGGAGGCAGCAGUAGGGAAUCGUCCGCAAUGGGCGAAAGCCUGACGGAGCAGCGCCGCGUGAGUGAUGAAGGUCUUCGGAUCGUAAAACUCUGUUAUGAGGGAAGAACAUAUGUGUAAGUAACUGUGCACAUCUUGACGGUACCUAAUCAGAAAGCCACGGCUAACUACGUG